rnacentral:rRNA from 1 species
AACGCUAGCUACAGGCUUAACACAUGCAAGUCGAGGGGCAGCAUUGGGGUAGCAAUACUUCAGAUGGCGACCGGCGCACGGGUGAGUAACACGUAUCCAACCUGCCGCUUACUCGGGGAUAGCCUUUCGAAAGAAAGAUUAAUACCCGAUGGUAUAAAGAGUUCGCAUGUUCUCUUUAUUAAAGAAUUUCGGUAAGCGAUGGGGAUGCGUUCCAUUAGAUAGUUGGCGGGGUAACGGCCCACCAAGUCUACGAUGGAUAGGGGUUCUGAGAGGAAGGUCCCCCACAUUGGAACUGAGAUACGGUCCAAACUCCUACGGGAGGCAGCAGUGAGGAAUAUUGGUCAAUGGACGAGAGUCUGAACCAGCCAAGUAGCGUGAAGGAUGACUGCCCUAUGGGUUGUAAACUUCUUUUAUAAGGGAAUAAAGUGAGGGACGUGUCCCUUUUUGUAUGUACCUUAUGAAUAAGGAUCGGCUAACUCCGUGCCAGCAGCCGCGGUAAUACGGAGGAUCCAAGCGUUAUCCGGAUUUAUUGGGUUUAAAGGGAGCGUAGGUUGACAUAUAAGUCAGCUGUGAAAGUUUACGGCUCAACCGUGAAAUUGCAGUUGAUACUGUAUGUCUUGAGUGUACAAGAGGUGGGCGGAAUUCGUGGUGUAGCGGUGAAAUG